AAAUGCAAUUUAUCAUCUGUAAAAUAUAAAUUCUAGCAGCUUGAUUGCAACAAAAAUUAUAUGCUGUCAGAUGGGUGAUUCCUGCUCUCAAUAAUGCUGUUGAAUUUAAAUCAGUCAUUGUUACAGGCCAGAGUUUCACCCUAAUGUAACAAAUAUGUAGCCUGGUUGUUGAAGUUAAUUAUAUUUUACAGAUGAUAAAUUGCAUUU
rnacentral:misc_RNA from 1 species